AAAGCUCAAAUUUAAAAUCUGGCGGUUUUGCCGUCCGAGUUGUAAUCUGGAGAAGCGUUUUCCGCGUUGGACCGUGUACAAGUCUCUUGGAACAGAGCGUCAUAGAGGGUGAGAAUCCCGUCUUUGACACGGACUACCAAUGCUUUGUGAUACGCUCUCAAAGAGUCGAGUUGUUUGGGAAUGCAGCUCAAAAUGGGUGGUAAAUUCCAUCUAAAGCUAAAUAUUGGCGAGAGACCGAUAGCGAA
rnacentral:rRNA from 1 species